AUAUAUUUAACGUGUGUUUUAUCUAUGUUGGUUAGAAUAAAUAAUUUAAGUUCUGCCGUGAUGUUUAUAUUAAUUGAAAGGAUUGAGAAACAAAUUUUAUUGAUUAAUUAAUAUAUUUAUUAAUGUAAAAUAUAAAUGCCAAUGUUUUUUUACUUAGUUUAUAAUGACGUCCCUAGAUUCAGAAAUCAUUGAAUGUUCUGAUGAUGAAAAUUAUGGAUUUAAAAAAAAUCAGGUAAACAAUUGGUAUCCCGAUCCAAUUGAUAUUUAUUCACUAUAUAAUUCAUUAGACUCUGGUAAUAUUUCAUCACUAAAAUUAGAUUGGACUUGUCCUGGAAGAAGAGAGCUUACUCCUGAAAAUACUCAAGUUUCUCAUAAUACUAUUAAUGAAGAGUGUGAAAUAACUGAAUCAAUUGAUCAAUCAGAUUUUGAUUUUGAAGAUGAAAUGUCUAAUAUGAAUUUAACUCGUUUAGAAGGCAAAAAAGAGUUAAAAGGUAGUGCCAAAAAAAAGACAACCAGUUUAGAUGCAGUUUUAUCAAAUAUGGUUAGACAUCAAAAAAUGGAUAAUAUGCUUGAUGAAAAAUUUGACUCAUUAUAAAAGUUAUUAAAAUUUUGUUAAAAUAAGAAAUAUUUAUUUAAUUGAACAUGAACCAGUCAACUAGUAAAAUGCAUUUAGGAUGUUCUGUAUGUUCUAAGUAUACGCAAUCAAGUUAUAACAGAAAUCCUGAUUCGACAUUUUUGCAUACAAGUCAAAAUAAAUUUUCAAAUAUCAUUUUUGAUGAAAAAGAAACUAAAUUGAAAAAAAUUAAAAACAAUCUAAAUCAAAAUUCAAAAUUUAAUUCACAAUGUUAUUGUAUUUAUAUGCCAAUAAACAAAACUAAAACUCAAUCUAAACAUAUAUGCUCAAAGAUAUGUGAAGUUUCAAAAAUAUCCACUACAGAUGAUUCCUGGUUAAAUCAAAUAAUUAACUUUAGAAGAGAUAAUUGGUUUGAAUGCCAUGCAAAUUUUUUUUUUAAUGAUAUUGAUUUAAAUAGAGUAAAUAAGCUAUGUUUUUUAAGUAAUACAAAUUGUAGUGUUGAAAAUAGCUCUAAUAACUGUAUUUGUUUAUCAUCGAAAAACCAAAAUAAUAUCACAAUCAACCCUGAAAGAAAAAAACUAAAUGGUCAAAAAAAAAAAGUGACAAAACAUUUUGAAAAAGGAUCACAAAAAUCUUGACCAACCAGCUUCUUGUUCAUCAAAAUGAAAAUUGUAUAUUAUGAAAAUUUUUUCCAAAUGUACAUAUAUGUUUAUUUGUAUAAGUAAGGUAUUAUGUAUUAUAUUAAAGUGAAAACAUAAAUUAUAAUUAAUUAUGUAUGUUUAAACAAACUUAUUUUAAAUUAACUAUAAUUUUAGUCUAUUUUCAUUUUUCAUUUUUUUUAUAUUUUACUACUUUUUUCACAUUUUAAUAUAAGUUAUAUUAUUUUUAAAUACACUAUUUGUUAAAUAUAUUUGUUCUUUUUUUGGAUCAA